rnacentral:rRNA from 1 species
UACGGGGGGUGCAAGCGUUGUUCGGAAUUACUGGGCGUAAAGCGCGUGUAGGCGGCUUGUCAAGUCGGGUGUGAAAUCCCAGGGCUUAACCCUGGAAGUGCGCUCGAAACUAGCAGGCUAGAGUACGGUAGAGGGAAGGGGAAUUCCCGGUGUAGAGGUGAAAUUCGUAGAUAUCGGGAGGAAUACCGGCGGCGAAGGCGCCUUCCUGGGCCGUUACUGACGCUGAGACGCGAAAGCGUGGGGAGCAAACAGG